rnacentral:rRNA from 1 species
UGGGGAAUAUUGGACAAUGGGCGAAAGCCUGAUCCAGCAAUGCCGCGUGAGUGAUGAAGGCCUUAGGGUUGUAAAGCUCUUUUACCCGGGAUGAUAAUGACAGUACCGGGAGAAUAAGCCCCGGCUAACUCCGUGCCAGCAGCCGCGGUAAUACGGAGGGGGCUAGCGUUGUUCGGAAUUACUGGGCGUAAAGCGCACGUAGGCGGCUUUGUAAGUUAGAGGUGAAAGCCCGGGGCUCAACUCCGGAAUUGCCUUUAAGACUGCAUCGCUAGAAUUGUGGAGAGGUAAGUGGAAUUCCGAGUGUAGAGGUGAAAUUCGUAGAUAUUCGGAAGAACACCAGUGGCGAAGGCGACUUACUGGACACAUAUUGACGCUGAGGUGCGAAAGCGUGGGGAGCAAACAGGAUUAGAUACCC